rnacentral:tRNA from 1 species
GCCCGCGCAGCUCGAAUGGUCGAGCGCCCGCCUCGUAUUCGGGAGGAUCCGGUUCGAUUCCGGACGUGGGCUCCC